GCACUGCUGAGGAGACCCACAAAUAGGACGAAACGGCCGUCCAGUGC
rnacentral:hammerhead_ribozyme from 1 species